UCGGGCAUGGUGUACGGUACACAGCGAGUCUCACUGCAAUGCUUAACACGAGGUCAAGCUCGCAGAUCGGGGUUCGACUCCCCGUGUUCGAA